rfam:Homo sapiens chromosome 7, GRCh38 reference primary assembly.
GCCGGGUGCAGUGGCGCACGCCUGUAAUCCCAGCUACUCAGGAGGCUGAGGCAGGAGAAUCGCUUGAGCCCAGGAGGCGAAGGUUGCAGUGAGAGGAGAUAGCCCCGCUGCCCUCCAGCCUGGGCGACAGAGCGAGACUCUGUCUCAA